rnacentral:tRNA from 1 species
UGGGCUGUGGCUCAGUGGUAGAGUGCUCACCUAGCAUGUGUGAGGCACUGGGUUUGAUCCUCAGCACCACAU